rnacentral:lncRNA from 1 species
GUAUCAUCCUCCAUGUGGGGACUCAUGCUUCCAUGAAUCGUCAAUCUCCUCAAAAUCGAGGUUUAAUAUCUCGGACAGUAAAUACACGCAGUUUGUCCGCUCGAUGGCCUCGUCGUACCUAUGUGCGACCACCCGUCCCUCCACAUUGACACCUAGAAUCAUCUGGACAUCGUGGAGAGUGAUAGUCAUCUCUCCCACGGCAUAUGGAAGCUGUUCGUCUCC